AGGGAAGGGCGGCUGCUGGCCCGGGUGACGCUUCCGCAUGCUAUAAGGGCAGCGGCCCUUGGUGCCUCCUUCCAGACCUCGCACCCAGCUCGGAGCCCGGAGCGUGCCUCGGCGGCCUAUCGGCAUUUCAUCUGCUAUGGCCAUGGUUUUUCUGGGGACCAGAGGUAACACGGCAGCACAGCUGUCCAAGACUUUUCAUUUCAACACGGUUGAAGAGGUUCAUUCAAGAUUCCAGAGUCUGAACGCUGAUAUCAACAAACGUGGAGCGUCUUAUAUUCUGAAACUUGCUAAUAGAUUAUAUGGAGAGAAAACUUACAAUUUCCUUCCUGAGUUCUUGGCUUCGACUCAGAAAACAUAUGGUGCUGACCUGGCCAGUGUGGAUUUUCAGCAUGCCUCUGAAGAUGCAAGGAAGACCAUAAACCAGUGGGUCAAAGGACAGACAGAAGGGAAAAUUCCGGAACUGUUGGCUUCGGGCACGGUUGAUAACAUGACUAAACUUGUGCUAGUAAAUGCCAUCUAUUUCAAGGGAAACUGGCAGGAUAAAUUCAUGAAAGAAGCCACGACGGACGCACCAUUCAGACUGAAUAAGAAAGACAGAAAAACUGUGAAAAUGAUGUAUCAGAAGAAAAAAUUUGCAUAUGGCUACAUCGAGGACCUUAAGUGCCGUGUGCUGGAACUGCCUUACCAAGGCAAGGAGCUCAGCAUGGUCAUCCUGCUGCCGGAUGACAUUGAGGACGAGUCCACGGGCCUGAAGAAG
rnacentral:sRNA from 1 species